rnacentral:rRNA from 1 species
UGGGGAAUAUUGCACAAUGGGCGCAAGCCUGAUGCAGCAACGCCGCGUGAGUGAAGAAGGUUUUAGGAUUGUAAAGCUCUUUCGACAGGGAAGAAGGGCCUCACUAGUAACACGGGUGAGGUUUGACGGUACCUGCAGAAGAAGCACCGGCUAAUUCCGUGCCAGCAGCCGCGGUAAUACGGAAGGUGCAAGCGUUGUUCGGAUUGACUGGGCGUAAAGAGCACGUAGGCGGGUUCGUAAGUUGGAUGUGAAAGCCCUGGGCUUAACCUGGGAACUGCAUCCAAAACUGCGAAUCUUGAAUACCUGAGGGGUUGGUAGAAUUCCAGGUGUAGGAGUGAAAUCCGUAGAUA